UGAUCUUGGAUCCGGCCAAUGGCCACCGUGCCGGACUCCUGUCGCCGGCGUCGGCGCCGCCGCGCACGGUGGCCGGCGAAGGCAAAAAAAACUUAUUUUCUAGAUCUCGACCCUCUGAGCCCGGAUCUAGCCUCAAAACAACUGAAAAUAAAGGGGAAAAGGCCGUUAUGCCUCUCUUCAAUCGGUUCCGUCACCGGAGAAGGAGUCUCCGAUGGCGAGAAGACGGAGCGACUCCCGGUGAGUUCCUUUUUCCCUUUUCUUUUUGUUUCCGUAUAUUAAAAUAGAAAAAAAAUAAAAAAAUAGGAGUAAACAACCUAAGUAAAUACCUAAACAGAAAAUAUAUCUUCUUGAAAAUGUUGUAUUUUAUUUGCUGAAUAUUUGUGAAAAAGAGACCUUUUUACAGAUGCAAAGAUCGGUUUUUUAAAACCGAUUCCCCCUCAUUUUCGUUUCUUACAAAUCGACUUUAUAGCCAAAAGAAAAAUAAAAUUUUGGUCUUGUCUCCUUCUGCUUCUGCUUGUGUUGCGUGUUUGCAGGGUGAUGGACGAGCGGCGCGACGUCAGAGGCAGGUGCGGAUGGGACGUAGCGAACGGCGGUGGCAGAGGAGUGGGUACUGCAGAGGUGUACGGCGC
rnacentral:lncRNA from 1 species